CAUACAAGAAGUAAUCUCAGUUCACUACUGCCAGUGAUUGAAUCAUUGAAAUCAAUGGAAAAAGCUUGCAACUCCCAUUACCAUAAUCAAUCUCUCCUGCUUCUUCCACUGUUCCUUUCAUUGCUUGUUGCAGGUCUGGCAUAUCCAACCCAAGAUGAGCAAUCCCAAAUCAUAUCGAGAUUCCAACAAUACCUUCAAAUCAACACAACCCAACCUUCCCCAGACUAUCAAAGCUCGACCCAGUUCCUUCUAUCCCAAGCCAAUUCCCUUUCUUUAGAAUCCCAAGUCAUAGAAUUCGUCAAAGGCAAACCAGUAAUUCUCCUCAAAUGGCCAGGCUCCGACCUUUCCCUUCCUUCUAUCCUCUUAAACUCUCACACGGACGUGGUUCCAUUCGAACCUUCGAAAUGGACCCAUCCGCCUCUUGGGGCUUACAUCGAUGAAGGAGGUAAUAUUUUUGGUAGAGGCUCACAGGAUAUGAAAAGCGUUGGGAUGCAAUACCUUGAGGCCAUUCGUAGGUUGAAGCUUUCUGGGUUUCAGCCAAAACGGUCUCUUUACUUAUCGUUUGUACCUGAUGAAGAGAUUGGUGGCUAUGAUGGUGCUAAGAAGCUAGCUUACUCUGAUGUUUUCAAGGAUAUGAAUGUUGAAAUAGUGCUUGAUGAAGGACUACCUUCUACCGACGAGAAUUAUAGGCUAUUCUAUGCGGAGAUGGCUCCAUGGUGGCUGGUGAUAAAGAGUAACGGCGCCCCUGGACAUGGGGCAAAGCUCUAUGACAAUAGUGCAAUGGAGAACCUUUUGAAGAGCAUUGAGAGCAUAAGGAGGUUCCGGGCUUCACAAUUCGAUUUGCUUAAGGCUGGUUUGAAGUCUAAAGGGGAUGUCAUUUCGGUUAACAUGGUCUUUCUCAAGGCUGGCACACCUUCUCCCACUGGUUUCGUCAUGAACUUGCAGCCAUCUGAAGCAGAAGCUGGUUUUGAUAUUCGAGCACCACCAACAGCUGACAUAGAAUCCUUGGAGAAACGGAUAGAAGAGGAAUGGGCACCUGCUUCAAGAAACAUGACAUUUGAGUUUAAGCAAAAGGUUACUCCACAUGAUGAUCUUGGAAGGCCACUCAUAACUGCCACUGAUGAUUCUAAUCCAUGGUGGACUCUAAUAGAAGAAGCUAUCAAUAAAGCUAAUGGAAAGAUUGGGAAGCCGGAGAUUCUUUCCGGUGCAACAGAUGCUCGCUAUUUCCGGCAACUAGGCCUUACAGCUAUUGGCUUUUCACCAAUGACCAACACCCCUUUUUUGCUUCACGACCAUAAUGAGUUUCUAAACAAAGCGGAGUACUUUAAAGGAAUUAAUGUUUACGAGUCCAUUAUUGAAGCUUAUACAUCAUAUAUCCCACCUGGAAGAGAUGGAGUUUCGAGAGAUGAGUUGUAAGGAGCCAAAGAGGCACAUCUUCACGUUCUUAGCUUCCCUUGCUUCCUUGUUUGUACCAUUUCACAGAGGAGGUUGAGGAUGUUCCCAGUAAUGUAUCAAUAAAGGAAGCACUUUCACCACUUAUCUAUGCUGAAGAGAGCUGACUCAUCAUGUAACUGCUUGGAUUACCAGCCCUGCAAAUGACGAGAAAUACAAGAGCAAAGAGAGGACUGAGAGCCUCUAUGAAGAAGGAAUCAAUGGCGGGCUGUGUUCUAAUAAUUUUCUGAACAUUUUAUACUAGUUCAAAAUGGGCCGGGGUUUGACGGUUUCGGCAGCCAUAUUUAUUAUUUAAAACUGGUUAAAUUCUGCCAGUAGUCCUUGUACUUUUUAAAUUUUAAAUUUUCAUAUCUCAUCAAAGAGUAUCUAUUAAAUUCAA